rnacentral:tRNA from 2 species
GCCCCCGUAGCUCAGGGGAUAGAGCAACGGUUUCCUAAACCGUGUGUCGGAGGUUCGAAUCCUCUCGGGGGCA